AACGAACGCUGGCGGCGUGCCUAACACAUGCAAGUCGAACGAGAAAGGGGCUUCGGCUCCGAGUAAAGUGGCGCACGGGUGAGUAACACGUGGGUAACCUGCCUCUAAGAUUGGGAUAACUCGUCGAAAGAUGAGCUAAUACCGAAUAAGACCACAGUUCCCGCGGGAACAGGGGUCAAAGGUAGCCUCUGCUUGCAAGCUAUCACUUAGAGAUGGGCCUGCGCACCAUUAGCUAGUUGGUAGGGUAACGGCCUACCAAGGCAAAGAUGGUUAGCUGGUCUGAGAGGAUGAUCAGCCACACUGGAACUGAGACACGGGCCAGACUCCUACGGGAGGCAGCAGUGGGGAAUAUUGCGCAAUGGGCGAAAGCUUGACGCAGCAACGCCGCGUGAGUGAUGAAGGCCUUCGGGUCGUAAAGCUCUGUCGGGAGGAACGAAUGCUCCUGAGGUUAACAGCCUCGGGAGGUGACGGUACCUGCAAAGGAAGCACCGGCUAACUCUGUG
rnacentral:rRNA from 1 species